AGCGAACGCUGGCGGCAGGCCUAACACAUGCAAGUCGAACGAACUCUUCGGAGUUAGUGGCGGACGGGUGAUUAACACGUGGGAACGUGCCUUUAGGUUCGGAAUAACUCAGGGAAACUUGUGCUAAUACCGAAUGUGCCCUUCGGGGGAAAGAUUUAUCGCCUUUAGAGCGGCCCGCGUCUGAUUAGCUAGUUGGUGAGGUAACGGCGCACCAAGGAGACGAUCAGUAGCUGGUCUGAGAGGAUGACCAGCCACACUGGGACUGAGACACGGGCCAGACUCCUACGGGAGGCAGCAGUGGCGAAUCUUGCGCAAUGGGCGAAAGCCUGACGCAGCCAUGCCGCGUGAAUGAUGAAGGUCUUAGGAUUGUAAAAUUCUUUCACCGGGGACGAUAAUGACGGUACCCGGAGAAGAAGCCCCGGCUAACUUCGUGCCAGCCGCCGCGGUAAAAC
rnacentral:rRNA from 1 species